rnacentral:lncRNA from 1 species
CCUUAAAAAUUAUAUGACUCAUCACUAGAAUUACUUUGGUUAAAAUUUUGCUGAAUUAAAAUACAGUGAUGCAUCAUCUCCAAUUUUACUUGGAGCAGUCAGGCCCAUCUUGACUCACACUCAGAUAUCACAAGUACUUGAUUGUAUCCAGAAACCUUCCAUCAUCAAAUUAGAAAUUCGGAUAGUUUGGUACCAAAGUACAGUGAGUUGCUUGCAAGUCACCGAGGUAGCCUC